rnacentral:rRNA from 1 species
CCUACGGGAUGCAGCAGUAGGGAAUCUUCCGCAAUGGACGAAAGUCUGACGGAGCAACGCCGCGUGAGUGAUGAAGGCUUUCGGGUCGUAUAACUCUGUUGUUAGGGAAGAACAAGUGCUAGUUGAAUAAGCUGACACCUUGACGGUACCUAACCAGAAAGCCACGGCUAACUACGUGCCAGCAGCCGCGGUAAUACGUAGGUGGCAAGCGUUAUCCGGAAUUAUUGGGCGUAAAGCGCGCGCAGGUGGUUUCUUAAGUCUGAUGUGAAAGUCCACAGCUCAACCGUGGAGGGUCAUUGGAAACUGGGAGGCUUGAGUGCAGAAGAGGAAAGUGGAAUUCCAUGUGUAGCGGUGAAAUGCGUAGAGAUAUGGAGGAACACCAGUGGCGAAGGCGACUUUCUGGUCUGUAACUGACACUGAGGCGCGAAAGCGUGGGGAGCAAACAGGAUUAGAUACCCUCGUAGUC